rnacentral:rRNA from 1 species
UACGAAGGGGGCUAGCGUUGCUCGGAAUUACUGGGCGUAAAGGGCGCGUAGGCGGCCAGCUUAGUCAGAGGUGAAAGCCCAGGGCUCAACCUUGGAAUUGCCUUUGAUACUGGCUGUCUUGAGUUCGGGAGAGGUGAGUGGAAUGCCGAGUGUAGAGGUGAAAUUCGUAGAUAUUCGGCGGAACACCAGUGGCGAAGGCGACUCACUGGCCCGAUACUGACGCUGAGGCGCGAAAGCGUGGGGAGCAAACAGG